rnacentral:rRNA from 1 species
UACGUAGGGGGCAAGCGUUGUCCGGAAUCAUUGGGCGUAAAGAGCGUGUAGGCGGUCCGUUAAGUCGGCUGUGAAAGUCCAGGGCUCAACCCUGGGAUGCCGGCCGAUACUGGAUGGCUUGAAUCCGGGAGAGGGAUGCGGAAUUCCAGGUGUAGCGGUGAAAUGCGUAGAUAUCUGGAGGAACACCGGUGGCGAAGGCGGCAUCCUGGACCGGCAUUGACGCUGAGGAGCGAAAGCCAGGGGAGCAAACGGG